CGGACGCACAGAUGGCGCCAGCCUCGAGCUGCGCGCGCACGCCGAACUCUAGAGGAAGCAAAUUUCUUGCACCCCUGGCGUCGCUAGCGCAGCGUAUCCGACUUCGCCUGCCGCGGCCUGGCGCGCCGAGAACGCCGGACUAUAUCUUGGCCUUAAGAGCGCUGUAUUCCAGAACAUGCCAGCAAAGCGGGUGAAUAGGUGCAACUGAUGCGAAUCGCGAGGAGUGUCCCCAAACCUGAAACAACUCACAGUGCUACCUAUUCCACGCCCUGUAAAUCGUGAGGUGUUUAUAAUUGAUACCUAUUUUCUUUGCUUUGGGAAAGCAGCACUCUGCAAGACCACCACACCUGCAGCAUGACAGACCACAUCGCGAACGACGAAGAUGACUCCGUCCGAAGAGACACGCGUAAGGGGCUACAUGGGUACUUUGGGCCUCUUCUAUCGGAGUACCCCCGGCUGAAUCCUUUAAGACACCGGGAGAACGCCGGCUCCAGCUCGACUGCUCCUGCCUCAGAGAUUUGGAUGCUGCAUUAGGCGUGCUCAUUGGAAUUUUUCACCAUGUACCCGACAUGCCUGGUGCGUUUCCUGAGGAGUAUCAUCGAGGGCUGAGCUAGAUGUCCUCAAUUUUUCUGAAUUUGAUAAUUAGAAUAUCUGUGGAUUU